AGAGUUUGAUCCUGGCUCAGGAUGAACGCUGGCGGUCUGCUUAACACAUGGAAGUCGAACGGAAGUCUUCGGACUUUAGUGGCGGACGGGUGAGUAACGCGUGAGAAUCUGCCUUCAGGUUGGGGACAACAGUUGGAAACGACUGCUAAUACCCAAUGUGCCGAGAGGUGAAAGCUUUAGUGCCUGAGGAUGAGCUCGCGUCUGAUUAGCUAGUUGGAGUGGUAAUGGCACACCAAGGCGACGAUCAGUAGCUGGUCUGAGAGGAUGAUCAGCCACACUGGGACUGAGACACGGCCCAGACUCCUACGGGAGGCAGCAGUGGGGAAUUUUCCGCAAUGGGCGCAAGCCUGACGGAGCAAGACCGCGUGAGGGAGGAAGGCUCUUGGGUUGUAAACCUCUUUUAUCAGGGAAGAAGAUCUGACGGUACCUGAUGAAUCAGCAUCGGCUAACUCCGUGCCAGCAGCCGCGGUAAUACGGAGGAUGCAAGCGUUAUCCGGAUUUAUUGGGCGUAAAGCGUCCGCAGGUGGUUUUACAAGUCUGCUGUUAAAGCGCGAGGCUUAACCUCGUACAGGCAGUGGAAACUGUGAGACUAGAGUAUGGUAGGGGUAGCGGGAAUUCCCAGUGUAGCGGUGAAAUGCGUAGAUAUUGGGAAGAACACCAGCGGCGAAAGCGCGCUACUGGGCCAUUACUGACACUCAUGGACGAAAGCUAGGGGAGCGAAAGGGAUUAGAUACCCCCGUAGUCC
rnacentral:rRNA from 1 species